GCAAAUAAGUGCAGAUGGUGGAUGCCUUGGUAUGGAAUGACGAUGAAGGACGUAGCAGCCUGCGAUAAGCCUCGGUGAGGUGGCAAGCAACCUUUGACCCGGGGAUAUCCGAAUGGGGUAACCCAAUCUGAUGGAAGAUCAGAUUAUCAGCCGCUGAAUUCAUAGGCGGUUAGAAGACAACCUGGGGAAGUGAAACAUCUCAGUACCCAGAGGAAGAGAAAACACCGAUACGUGGUUCUGUUGCUAUCACUCGCGCAAACGUUUGUGAGUGGUAGUAGCAGUGCCACAUAAUUCCCGGAGUAGUGGCGAGCGAAACGGGACCAGCCCAAACUUAGUGACGCUUGAACUUGCGAUGCGUGUAUAUCUUUUGAUAGAUACGAAGCGACCAUCUGCUUACAAGGAGUCAGAGCGCUUACCACUUCAGCGUAGGUUUUUUGCUUAUGGCCCUCGUGCUAGUCAGAUACCGUACCGCCUGUUAUCGCAGGUUAGGCGGCUGUACUGGGAACGAGCUGUAGGCGAACCUACGCUGAAGUGGUGCGUGAUGGCGUGCCUAUUGAAGAAUGAGCCAACGAGUUAGCUGGUAGUAGCUGAUUAAGUCCUACGGGACGUAGUCAAAGUGAAAGCGAGGCUUAACAGCCGUACUGAGUUUGAAAAGCGAUGCGUGUAUUUUCACGCCGCGCUUUUCUUACUCAAAAGCUGCUAUCACUAGACCCGAAACCGGGUGACCUAGCCAUGACCAGGGUGAAGCACAGGUAACACUGUGUGGAGGCCCGAACCCACGCGCCGUGCAAAACGCGGGGAUGAGUUGUGGCUCGCAGAGAAAUUCUAAUCGAACUCGGUAAUAGCUGGUUCUCCUCGAAAUAGUUUUAGGACUAGCCUGUUCCAUCGUUCCUGAUGGUAGAGCACUGAAUGGGUUUCCAUGGCGUAAGCCUAGGCGAUCCAACCAAACUCCGAAUGUCAGGAAACGUAAGGAAUGGAGUCAGAGCGUGAGGGCUAAGCUUCACCGCUCAAAAGGGAAACAGCCCAUGAUCACCAAAUAAGGUCCCUAAAUUUCAGCUAAGUGUUAAAGGCGGUCUCGUCGCUUAAACAACCAGGAGGUUGGCUUAGAAGCAGCCACCCUUUAAAGAAAGCGUAACAGCUCACUGGUCUAGCGCUGGGGCGCCGAAAAUGUACCGGGGCUAAAGCUGAAUACCGAAUUUGUGGGCCCGUCGUAAGACGGGCGGUAGAGGAGCGUCCUCUGCUGCCGUGAAGCCCCAGCCGUGAGGCGGGGUGGAGCGCAGAGGAGUGCGAAUGUUGGCAUAAGUAGCAAAAAGACUAGUGAAAACCUAGUCCACCGUAAACCUAAGGUUUCCUGGGCAACGCAAAUCGACCCAGGGUGAGGCGGGCCUAAGGCGAGGCUGAAAAGCGUAGCCGAUGGACAGCAGGUUAAUAUUCCUGCCCCGCCAUUAAGUUUCAAUGGGGUGACGUCGUUUUUAAGGUUCUGCGCGAUUUGGUUAUGCGCGUGUACCGUGAAGCCGUGCCUGGUAGGUAAAUCCGCCAGGAUAAUCGGCAGGCGCGGGACGUAGGGAAAGGGGCAACCCCGACCCGACAGAACUGGCGAGACGGCCUAGAAAAACCUCUAGAGUUAACUUAAUGGUGACCGUACCGGAAACCGACACAGGUGGGUGAGGCGAGUAGCCUCAGGUGUACGAGAGAACCCUUGUUUAGGAACUCGGCAAUACAACGGCCGUAACUUCGGAAUAAGGCCUACCCGUCGCAAGACGGGUCGCAGUAAAAGACGUCAACCGACUGUUUAUCAAAAACACAGGUCCCUGCAAAGCCGCAAGGCAACGUAUAGGGGCUGAUGCCUGGCCAGUGUCAGAACGUUAAGGCAAGAGGUCAUUCCGCCGCAAGGCGGAGGCAGCCUUGAACUGAAGCGCUGAUGAACGCCGGCGGUAACUAUAACCGUAGUUCCGACCUGCACGAAUGGCAUAACGAGUUGACGACUGUCUCAACAAGGGACUCGGUGAAAUUGCAAGACCCGUGAAGAUGCGGGUUACCCACGGCUAGACGAAAAGACCCCGUGAAGCUUUACUACAACUUGGUAUUGAGCAUUAUAAGUGCUUGCUCAGCAUAGGUGGGACGCGCUAGAAGCCCUGACUCCGGUUGGGGCUGAGCGGAAAUAUGAGAUACCACCCUGGCGGUUUUAGUGUUCUAACCUCAUGCCGUUAUCCGGCUGAGGGACAGUAUCUGGCAGGUAGUUUGACUGGGGCGGUCGCCUCCUAAAAUGUAACGGAGGCGUUUACUAAGGUUGGCUAGCUCCCGAUGGAAACGGGAGUGAUAGGGACCCGAGCAGUUGCGAAAGCAGCUGAUCGGGUCCAAGAGUCCACAUCGACGACCCGGUUUGGCACCUUAACAUAUCGGGGUGCAUGAACAGUGAUGUUUUUCCCAAUCUUUUCGUUUAAUUAAAUAAUUUAGACAGGAAUCAAGAUCAAUAAUCGGCUUAUAACGGUGAACCCGUCAGUCCGCCCAGGGCGGACCCGGCAACACCGUGGGAAGUCAUCCGCCCAGGGCGGAUUGACCCCGUAACGACUGACCCGAAAGGGAAGAGCCCGCCAACGGCGGGCUAACACGCCGACUCUUGCAGUGAAAUCUGAGGUUAUGCGGUUAGGCUGUUCGCCAAUUAAAGCGGUACGCGAGCUGGGUUCAGAACGUCGUGAGACAGUUCGGUCUCCUGUCUGUCGUGGGCGUGCGAAACUUGAGAAGGCUCUUCCCUAGUACGAGAGGACCGGGAAGAACGAACCUCUAGUGCACCAGUUGGUCUACCAAGGCCAUCGCUGGGUAGCUACGUUCGGCGCGGAUAAACGCUGAAAGCAUCUAAGCGUGAAGCCGUCUUCAAGAUUAGGUUUCGUUGAGGAACCAGAGAGAACAUCUGGUUGAUAGGUGGUAGGUGUAAGGCCCGUAAGGGUUUAAGCCGAGCCAUACUAAUCGUCCGAUGGUUUAACC
rnacentral:rRNA from 1 species